GGAGGUGAAGGGCUCCCACCAAGCAGGCCUGGACCCAGAUGUAGCGCAUGCAGAUACACAGGAGAGCUGCAGUGCACAUAGGGAAGCGCUCCUGAUGAGGUAACCUCCUGUGAGUGGCUUUCAAUGCAACGGCAUAAAGGAGGCUUGCCAAUCUGCCUUGAUGAUGAACAGUGCUCCUCCAGCAGCAGGAAAACUUGAUCUAAGGUCCUAAAGGCUAUCAAGUCCACUCUUCCUCACUGGAAGUCCAUCUCUGCUUUAAAGACUCGCUGGCUCCAGAAAUUCUCCAUCGUGCUGAAGAAUUUGAUCCAGGGGAUUGUGCUGUCUGGAUAAAUGUUCACUGAGCUCUAUAAGGGGGGAAUGGAUUGAGGUCACGGCACUAAAGCAUCUCCCUCAGUUCAAAGGUGGGCAUGAGCGUGAGUCCCGAAGACAGAUUCAUCUUGGUCAGGAGAAAACCUCUUGAAAGGAGGGCAUGUAAUCGCAAUGUGGAGCGUAACGGACCAUAUCGUUAUUAAAUGGUAUUGUUAAAGGAAAUAGGAGAGAGGUCAAAUUUGAUGUAAGCCGCCCUAUUGUGACAUGUGAGACGAACCCU